rnacentral:rRNA from 1 species
GACGGAGGAUGCAAGUGUUAUCCGGAAUCACUGGGCGUAAAGCGUCUGUAGGUUGUUUAAAAAGUCUGCAGUUAAAGGUUGAAGCUUAACUUCAAAAAUGCCGUAGAAACUUUUAAACUAGAGGAUGGUAGGGGUAGAGGGAAUUUCCGGUGGAGCGGUGAAAUGCGUAGAGAUCGGAAAGAACACCAACGGCGAAAGCAACUCUGCUGGGCCGACACUGACACUGAGAGACGAAAGCUAGGGGAGCGAAUGGG